GCCGAAGACAUGCAAGGARRAGCGAGCUUGCCUAGAUGAUUUUAGUGCUUGCACUAAAUGAAACUAGAUACAAGCGAGCGGCGGACGGGUGAGUAACACGUGGGUAACCUGCCCAAGAGACUGGGAUAACACCUGGAAACAGAUGCUAAUACCGGAUAACAACACUAGACGCAUGUCUAGAGUUUGAAAGAUGGUUCUGCUAUCACUCUUGGAUGGACCUGCGGUGCAUUAGCUAGUUGGUAAGGUAACGGCUUACCAAGGCAAUGAUGCAUAGCCGAGUUGAGAGACUGAUCGGCCACAUUGGGACUGAGACACGGCCCAAACUCGAACGGGAGGCAGCAGUAGGGAAUCUUCCACAAUGGACGAAAGUCUGAUGGAGCAACGCCGCGUGAGUGAAGAAGGGUUUCGGCUCGUAAAGCUCUGUUGGUAGUGAAGAAAGAUAGAGGUAGUAACUGGCCUUUAUUUGACGGUAAUUACUUAGAAAGUCACGGCUAACUACGUGCCAGCAGCCGCGGUAAUACGUAGGUGGCAAGCGUUGUCCGGAUUUAUUGGGCGUAAAGCGAGUGCAGGCGGUUCAAUAAGUCUGAUGUGAAAGCCUUCGGCUCAACCGGAGAAUUGCAUCAGAAACUGUUGAACUUGAGUGCAGAAGAGGAGAGUGGACUCCAUGUGUAGCGGUGGAAUGCGUAGAUAUAUGGAAGAACACCAGUGGCGAAGGCGGCUCUCUGGUCUGCAACUGACGCUGAGGCUCGAAAGCAUUGGUAGCGACAGGAUU
rnacentral:rRNA from 1 species